GCGAUCGAUUUGAUCGUGAUUUGGUCGAGAAUAUUGAUGAUUAGAGACUCUCAAUCAAGAAGGUUAAAGCUUUUGUAUCGUCUGGAGGAUCAUCUUCUUGGCACAUAUCAAAAUGUCUCAAAGUGAAAAAGCAUCCAAUAGAGUUGGAACUCCAAGCUGCAGUCAACCAAUUUCCCAACAGCCAGAACAAGAAGAUCAAAGUGUUGCUUCAACAAUUGCUUCAACAACACCUUCUUCGAGUAAUAAGAGAUCAUUAGCAGAAGUAGCAGAUGAAAAUCAUCCACUUGUUAUUGCUUUAUUGAA